ACGACCCAGAUCUCGCUCGUCGUAACAUCCGUAACCCGCGCCCUUUCGUCAGCCCUCUAGCCUCAGUCACGUGACUGUCGUGGCGUCAGAUUUAGGUCACCAGGUGGGCAGGCAGCAGCCAAAGACGGGCUUUUGAGAUCAGUUUACGUUUAGGAUUCGGUCACCUGUGAGGUUCAUAUACAUGCAUGGUUGACCACUGAGGGGUUGGAUGACGAAGAUCGCCGGCGAACAUGGAGAGUGUUGCUCCACUACCUUUCUGGCAGGCUUAUGUAAAGGCUUAUGAGCUGCGACCAUCCGCCAUCAGGAGAGUUAACUCGACUUGUCUCAAUACGAGUGACGUGGCAUGGAUGCUGUCCACAGACUGUUUACUAAACCCUCGAGACAUUUGUGCUGCUGUGGCUGGCCUGUGUUCUGGACUUGUAUGGUCCUUGGGCUUCUAUCUAUCGUCUUGUCUUCGUUGCCCAACUGCCGACAAUCUUGGUGUGGAUGAGAGUUUCUCUAGUGACUCACCUUUUCGCUGACAUCCUCAGCUGUGUGGGCGCUCUCAUGGCCAUGCAGUUCCUGGAGCAGAUCGCGUUUGGCGCGACAGUCGUGCUGGGACACUCAGCAGUUGCCAUGGUGACCUGCUGUCGCCAUCUAUGGCGUCACUGUGGCCAUCAAGACAGUAACAGCUCACACAAACGUCGGGUGGCGCUGUUGUGCUGCUGCAAUUCGGGGUGCACGUGCAGGUUGUCCUUCAC